rnacentral:rRNA from 1 species
AGUGAACGCUGGCGGUAGGCCUAACACAUGCAAGUCGAACGGCAGCACAGUAAGAGCUUGCUCUUACGGGUGGCGAGUGGCGGACGGGUGAGGAAUACAUCGGAAUCUACUUUUUCGUGGGGGAUAACGUAGGGAAACUUACGCUAAUACCGCAUACGACCUACGGGUGAAAGCAGGGGAUCUUCGGACCUUGCGCGAUUGAAUGAGCCGAUGUCGGAUUAGCUAGUUGGCGGGGUAAAGGCCCACCAAGGCGACGAUCCGUAGCUGGUCUGAGAGGAUGACCGCCCACAUGGGACAUGAGAAACGUCCAAGACCCCUAGGGAGGGAAGAGGUGGGAAAUUUUGGCAAAUGGGGGCAAGCCUGACCCAGCCAACCCGGGGGGGUAAAGAAGGCCUUCGGGUGUUAAAGCCCUUUUGUUGGGAAAAAAAAGCGGCAGGUUAAAACCCCGCUUUUCGGGCGGUACCCAAAGAAAAAGCACCGGCUAACUUCGG